rnacentral:rRNA from 1 species
UACAGAGGGUGCAAGCGUUGUUCGGAAUUAUUGGGCGUAAAGGGCGCGUAGGCGGUGCUAUAAGUCUGUGGUGAAAUCUAUGGGCUCAACUCAUAGUCUGCAUCGGAAACUGCCGGGCUUGAGUAUGGGAGAGGAGACUGGAAUUCCUGGUGUAGCGGUGAAAUGCGCAGAUAUCAGGAGGAACACCAAUGGCGAAGGCAGCACUCUGGGACGGUACUGACGCUGAGACGCGAAAGCGUGGGGAGCAAACAGG